AAAUACUUGCUUGACAUUUGUUCGUGGUAACACCGGAUUUGCGUAAUCAAGUGCUCAAUUUAUUGUCGAAUUCGGUGCACUCUUUCCAACUCUUUCUCUCAUUUAAUAUUUUAAUUGCAUAUUUAAUUUAAGCUUAUAUUUUCAUUUUUAUAAUAUGUUUAAUGAUGCUAGUCCUGUAGAUUUUGGUAGUAAUAGUAAUGACCCGACUUCUAAUCGUAAAAGAAGAAGUCUGGUAUG
rnacentral:lncRNA from 1 species